rnacentral:sRNA from 1 species
UACAGCCUGGAGUCUCUGUUUCCCUUUCAGGUCCCAGCUCUCUUGGCUUUCCCAUAAGCAGCUGCCCUGGGACUCUCCUGGAGACCUGAUGCCCGCAGCCGAGCUGACCACAGGAGCGGGUGCUGGGGACUGAGGGAGGCUUAGAGUUCAGAGAGGAGGUGUGAUUCUGAGGUCACACAGCAAGUUAGAGACCCAGCUCCACCACUCGUUGUCUUGGCUUUGGCCCUCGCCAUCCUGCCCACCCAGCGGGGCCUCCCAACCCACCACACGGCCAUGGAUGGGAAGGUGGCAGUGCACGAGCACGGGCCUCCUGCAGUCUCCUGGGUCCCCGAGGAGGGAGAGAAGUUGGACCAGGGAGACGAGGACCAGGCGAAGGAUCGGGGCCAAUGGACCAACAAGAUGGAGUUUGUGCUGUCCGUGGCUGGGGAGAUCAUUGGGCUGGGCAAUGUCUGGAGGUUUCCCUAUCUCUGCUACAAAAACGGAGGUGGUGAGUUCACUUUCAAGUAGGCAUGGUGGGGAGAGCUGUGCGCUGGCAGCUGGGCAGUGCCUACCUGGGCCCUCCUU